CGCCAACUAGCUAGCCCACCCCCACAAAGACAACAACUUAUUAUUAAUAACCCCUAAUAUACUAACCAUAAUUUAAACAAACCAUUUUACAUCCUUAGUAUGGGCGACAGAAAAGGAAUUACCGGAGCAAUAGAGAAAGUACCGCAAGGGAACGCUGAAAGAGAAAUGAAACAACUCAGUGAAGCCUAAAGAAGCAGAGAUUUUACCUCGUACCUUUUGCAUCAUGAUUUAGCUAGAAUUAUUCAAGCGAAGUGUCCUUUAGUUUGAAACCCCGAAACUUGGUGAGCUACUCCAAGACAGCCUAGUAAUAGGGCAAACCCGUCUCUGUGGCAAAAGAGUGGGAAGAGCUUUGAGUAGAGGUGACAGACCUACCGAACCUAGUUAUAGCUGGUUACCUGAGAAUUGGAUAGGAGUUCAGCCUCCUGGCUUCUCUCUUCAACACGGCUUUACCCCUGCCGACACCUAAGAAACCAGGAGAGUUAAUCAAAGGGGGUACAGCCCCUUUGAAACAAGACACAACUUUCCCAGGAGGGUAAAGAUCAUAUUAAAUUAAGGUAUUAUGCCUCGGUGGGCCUAAAAGCAGCCAUCCCAAUAGAAAGCGUUAAAGCUCAAGCAUUCAACCUAUCCCGUAUAUUUGGAUAACUAACUCUUAACCCCCUAACAAUAUCAGGUCGUCUCAUGCAUGCAUGAGAGCGUACAUGCUAAUAUGAGUAAUAAGAGAGCACUCGCCUCUCUCCGUGCACACGUGUAAAUCGGAACGAACCCACACCGAAACUUAACGGCCCCAAAAAAAGAGGGAAGUGGAAAGCAAGUAAGCAACCAGAAAACCGCCCAACAAUACCCCGUUAACCCCACACUGGUGUGCCCUUAAGGAAAGACUAAAAGAAAAAGAAGGAACUCGGCAAACACAAGCCUCGCCUGUUUACCAAAAACAUCGCCUCUUGCAGAACAAAUAUAAGAGGUCCCGCCUGCCCUGUGACUAUAUGUUAAACGGCCGCGGUAUUUUAACCGUGCGAAGGUAGCGCAAUCACUUGUCUUUUAAAUGGAGACCUGUAUGAAUGGCAUAACGAGGGCUUAACUGUCUCCUUUUUCAAGUCAAUGAAAUUGAUCUCCCCGUGCAGAAGCGGGGAUACUUACAUAAGACGAGAAGACCCUAUGGAGCUUUAGACACCAGGUAUAUCAUGUUAAACACCCCUCGAUAAAGGGUUAAACCAAAUGAACCAUGCCCACAUGUCUUUGGUUGGGGCGACCGCGGGGAAAUAAAAAACCCCCACGUGGAAAGGGAGCACUGCCUCCUACAACUCAGAGUUGCAACUCUAAUAAACAGAAAUUCUGACCAUAAGAUCCGGCAACGCCGAUCAACGGACCGAGUUACCCUAGGGAUAACAGCGCAAUCCCCUUUUAGAGCCCAUAUCGACAAGGGGGUUUACGACCUCGAUGUUGGAUCAGGACAUCCUAAUGGUGCAGCCGCUAUUGAGGGUUCGUUUGUUCAACGAUUAAAGUCCUACGUGAUCUGAGUUCAGACCGGAGUAAUCCAGGUCAGUUUCUAUCUAUGACAUGUUUUUUUCUAGUACGAAAGGACCGGAAAGAAGGGGCCAAUACUAUAAGCACGCCUCACCCCUCCUAUUGAAAUCAACUAAAAUAGGCAGAAGGGCAUAACCCUUUAAGCCCAAAAUAAUGGCAU
rnacentral:rRNA from 1 species